ensembl:snoRNA
AUCCUUUUGUAGUUCAUGAGGGUGAUGGUUGGGUGUUCGCGCUAUUGCAUGAUUUGUGCUUCCCUCCAGACCUUGUCACGACACCGGCACAUUACCCAUCCGACG